GUGAAGCCCCCCUCAAGAUGAGAUAUCCCAUAGCGAAAGCUAGUAAGACCCCUUGAAGACGACGAGGUAGAUAGGUUAGAGGUGGAAGUGCAGUAAUGUAUGGAGCUGACUAAUACUAAUCGGUCGAGGGCUUAACCAAAA
rnacentral:rRNA from 1 species